UCUCUUGUCAAUAAACUUCAGUUUUUUGUGGUGCAUUUAGAAGGAAAGUUUGGGGAGGUGGAGGGCUUGUCCAAAAUGCGGUCAUUGUUGGUCUUGAUCAAAACUGCAUCCUCUGCCCAGUCACGGGCACUACUCGCCUGUGACAAGCUGGCGGAUGUUUCUGUUUCCAUCCCACCCCAUAAGACCUUAAAUAUAGUCCAGGUUAUCAUAUUUCACAGGGACCUUCUUUUGCAGUCUGGCAAAGAGCUGUGUGCCAGUUUAGAGCGGCGAGAUGCCCAUUUCAUCUGACGCAUCCACUGAGGUCUGAGAUAUAAUCAGGUUGCCACUGGUGCCUUCAUCUUGGCCUUCGAGGGUGACAAUUACCCAAGAAGUUGAAGAUGAUGGUGUACUGUUGUGACGUAAAGCCAUAUACCCCUCCCCCGAUAUGGUGCAUUAAGUUCUGGAAGUUUGGCCAUAUGUCUUCCCACUGUACUUCCAGCAUCACCUGUCAGGAUAGUGGACAUCCCAAUACUCCCUGUGCCCCACCUUCCAUCUGUGUAAACUGCGGAGAGCACGAUUCGCCUUGCUUGUCAGACUGCAGGAUUCUCCAAAAAGAAAGAAAAGUAAUGGAAUACAAGACCCUGGACUGACUGACCUACACCGAGGCUAAGAUAAAAUAUGGGAGGCUACAUCCUGUGCAUAUGUUGUCAACCAAUGCCGCCGCUAUGACUACGGUUCUACCAUCUUCCGUUCCACUGCGUACAGUUGGCUCUCAGAGCCGUCAGACUCCACCUUCCCCCGUGAUGGUGGGGGGCACUUCCCUCCCUGUUGCUCCUGCACAACCUGCUUCAGGAGCAACAUCCUUCCACCCCUUCAACCAUCAGGGGGACAUCAGUCCCCACUUCUCAGCCAGAGAAGCAUAAGUCUUUUACAGCUCCUCUCGCCAGAAUGGGAUCCCUUGGGUCACUCCCUUUCCAUGUUCCUACCAGUGGCAAAACUGACACUCACCAGUGGCUGAUAACAACCACAGGUAGCUGGUCAUAGGGCUUCACGGUCCUCCUCAGUCCCUGAGACUGAAUCAGUGAAGCCCUCCCAGCUGGACAAACCUAAGGAGCAGCGAGAGAAACCUAAAACGAAAAAGAUCCCCCAGAACCAGGGCACUGCGGUAGCACCCAGACCACCACUACCUACAAUAUCUGUGUCUGAGGAUGAGGUGGAGAUUCUGGCGUCUGCUGAGGACCUAGAUCUCGCUGGGCCCUCAGACACAAUGGAUGUUGAUCGCGCAGGUACUCGUCUGGUGGCAGCGGGUGACCCUGAGGCUUAGACUGUCUCAUUGAGUGUUUCAUGCCUUCCCAGUCUCACGAUCACAUAAUCCUCCAGUGGAAUUGCAGUGGUUUUUUCCACCACCUGGCUUGAGCUAUGGCAACUGUUAAGCUUUACACCUGCUUUCUGUAUUGCCCACCAGGAAACCUCAUUCCGGGCGGAAAACGUGAUCCCUCGUUCUCUAGGGUGCCACUGGCAAAACAAUCCCUUGGUGGUUACCAGAAGUUGCUGAGGCAAUUAAAGAGCUUUGGUGAACUCUACAGUAACAUAAGUGGCACCCUUCCCUAGAGCACCUAAUAGCCUUUAAGCGGCUCCGUACCCGCUUUUGCCUGCUUAUAAAAUGCCGGAAACAGGAGUGUUGGGAGAGGUACGUAUCGACCAUGGGGUGCCAUAUGUCACCUUCCCAAAUCUGGAUGAAGAUCGGAUGUGUUUUAGGGUACCAGACUCCAAAAGAUGUCCCUGGUGUUAACAUCAAUAGCGUGCUCUCUACACAGAAGCAAACGUGAUUUCUGAGCACUACCCCUCAGCCUUUUGCACCCUCAAAUGGCAGUUGGAAAGGAAAGACCUCUUAUUCACUACACACCACAGUGAACUGUAUAAUGCCCCAUUUACAGAGUGGGAGCUCCUCAUCACCCUUGCACAUUACUCCGAUACAGCUCCUGGGCCGGAUUGGAUCCAAAAUCAGAUGAUUAAACAUCUUGUGUCUGACUACAAGCGAUUUCUCCUCAAUUUCUCCUCAACUGGAUCUGGUGCGAUGACGUCUUUCCAUCGUAAUGGCGGGAGAGCAGCAUCAUUAUGGUGCUGAAACCCGGUAAAAAUCCGCUUGAUGUGGAUAGCUAUCGGCCUGUCAGCCUCACAAACAUUCUCCAUAAGCUGCUGGAACGUAUGGUGUGUCAGCGGUUGGGUUGUGACCCGGAGUCACGUGGCCUACUGGCUCCAUGUUAGGGUGGCUUCCACCAGGGUCACUCUACCACUGAUAAUCUUGUCCCCCUUGAGUCUGCCAUCUGAACUGCCUUUUUCAGAUGCCGACAUCUGGUUGCCAUCUUUUUUGACUUACAUAAAGCAUAUGACACAAUCUGGCGACAUCAUAUCCUUUGCCAGAUUUUUAUCCAAAACUUCCUGUUGUUCCGUACUUUCCGUGUCAAAGUUGGUGCCUCCCAUAGUUCCCCCUGUAUUCAGGAGAAUGGCAUUCUUCAGGGCUCCGUAUUGAGUGUGUCUCUAAUUUCAGUGGCUAUUAACGGUCUAGCAUCAGCUGUAGGGCCAGUGGUCUCGCCUCUGUAUGCAGGUGACUUCUGCAUUUUGUACUGCUCCUCUAGUACUGGUGUUGCUGAGUGGUGCCUACAGGGAGCUAUUCAGAAGGCGCAGUCAUGGGCUCUAGUCCACGGCUUCCAGUUUAAUCAUGUGUCAUGCAUAUCUGUCGGUGUCGCUCCAUUCGUCCAGAAUCAGAAAUUUACCUUAAUGAUGAUCCACUCAUUGUAGUGGAGACACUGAUUCUUAGGACUGUAGUGUUGUAGAAUAGUAAAGAGUUGGAAACGUGGAAUAUUGUCAAAGUUUCGUUGCCUAUGCCGAGAGCCAGAGCCGGUCGGUUAGCCAAGAGGUAAGAGGAUUGCGCAUGUAUCGGAAUGUGUCGUCACGCAGGGGCAAUGACCUGGUUACACACAACAGGCGAGAGAGAAUUGCUUAGCACAUGGGUUUGUGUUGGACGGAGACUUUCGUAGAGUGUAAGGCAGAGGUAUAGUGUCAGCUGUACUGCAUUUCACAACUUCUCGUAAGUGUACUGUAACAACACGUAACUCAGUUGCAAGAACACCUAAGGGGCAAGUACGACAGAUGAAUCAGCAGUAUAAGUGGAACGAAUGCGUUCAUUACAGGACAUUGCUCGUGCUUCCUUUAAAUACGCCAGCUUUGAUAGCAACAAAGCACUCGCAGUUAGACUUGCAGUUAGAUGUGUACUGGGAUGCUGCGUAGCGCUCAGCUCGCUGAACGACAUGUUAAUCUUUAUUAAGGAGAUGUUGCAGUAAGGGCAGCCCAUCCAGCAGCAGACGUGAGGGAACAGUACCAGCUCUGGUCCUCUUUGCUGCCGCUGUCAAUCAUCAGCCCAGGAUUAGAAGACAUUGCGGCAGACUCGCUCGCCGCCAAUGCUGACCACAUCAGUGAGCUGUCGCCGAGAUCGUGCGGGGCCUAGGCCCUGUGCAUCCGCCGUUACAACCGGGUGAGCCGGCGACGCUGGGGGACUGCAGCCCAUUCCGCCCGUCCACCGCGGUCGAGCCACCAGGAGGAGCAGGGAAGAAGACGGGGUGGGAUAGAGUACACUCUGCACUACGAGAAUGCCUCUCGUGCCGACAGCACCGGGACUCCAACCCGGAGCCUCCUACGCACAGUGGCCUGCUGUCCGCUGCCGAGCCGACCGGCCAGCUGGCGCCUCCAGCCACGCGUGGCCGAAGUCCGAAGUAAGGACAUUCCUUCGCUACGUCACAGCACGUGGCGCUGCGCUAGCAAGACUGGUGUGGCGCGGAGCUGGUGUCAUCGGUCCGAGUCAGCGAGGACUCGGGGAAGGUAGUUGAUAUCACCAAGUGCAGCCAGCCUGUGUUACGUGGGCCACGUUGUAAUCGGCAGGAAUAAAGGUGUUAUGAAUUAAUAAUGUUUAUUUGGCGUUUCUGAUGCGUUCACAGUCAUUUCCUAGCAUCCUGACAACUGGAGAGGUCACCGCUUGGCCUCCAGUCCAUCGUAAGCGACCGGGACCACCUAUAGAUUUGGUGUCAGAAGUCCUCACGCCGCCUACGGAUUUGGUGUUCAAACCGCCCACUACAGCAUUGGCCUGCAGAUCUGGUAUCUGGAGUUGUCGACACCGCCACUGCAGGACUGACACUACAGAGUUGUGGUCAGAACUGUCGACUCUACGCAGCCUUGUGGUGCCGUGCCAGGAUGUGGCCCGGGAAACUUUUCGUCAGUCUGGUACUGCUACACUGUUGCAGAGGAGAGGUGGUGCAGGUGCAACCACUAGAUAAGGGAAUUUUGUUUGCAAGACAAUUAGAUGUGGUAUUGACAAGCCGCAGGUGAACAAUUGUGUUCACGUAUAAUAUAUGGGGAGUGAGGAAUGAUGUACGGACACUACAGGAUAGGUUUACGGUGCUACAGGCAGCCACAGAGGAGGAGGGGUUGUUUCAAGACAUACGGAACGAGUAUCAGGAAUUGAAGCUCUCAUACGAAAAGCUGAGAAGGCAGCUGCAACAAGUAACGGAAGUGGUCCCGCAAACGCUCGUUUGCAGGAAAUGAGGGUGGUCGGAUGCAGGGGGAAAAUUUCUGAAAACAGUGUUUGGAACCGCGGACGAGGAGGAUAUAAGGAGGUUAAAUAGUACGGUGGGGGAGGUGAAGGAGUUGGCAGAGGAGACAGUCAAAAGUGGAUUGGCACACGAGAGUUGACGUCACACCUGGAAUGGUAUGCAGCAUAUACCAGGAAAGUGUUGAAUGGGGAUAUAGAGGCUAUACAGGUUAGAUUGAACCGAGUAGAUGGGAAAAUACAAGUAGCAGCUUUAUUGAGGGCAUUAGCAGACAGGGUGGAUGAUGAAUGUGUCGAAUUGGAAGCGUUAUAUGAAGCUGUGCAUCACGCAGUGCAUGGGCAAUUGAGUGCCAAUUUGUUAGGUCCAGAUCAGAUGCUGAAGGCGUUGCUGAAAGCGCAGAAAUAAUUCUCGGAAGGAGUGUGUCAUGUCAUGCCUCCGGCGAAACGGAAUUUGCCGUUAUUCUAUCACAUGUCUAAAGUGAGAGUGAUUACGGAUCAGGCGAGUAUACACGUGGAAGUGCAAAUACCAGUGAUGGGUAUCAAUUCGCAGUACCAGUGUUAUACAGUACACCUGUGUCCAGUUAGAUGGGGUGCACUUGGGAAGUGGGUGCUGACCACAUCAGUGAGCCAUCGCUGAGAUCGUGCGGGGCCUGGGCCCUGUGCGUCCGCUGUCACAACCGGGUGAGCCGGCGACGCUGGGGGACUGCAGCCCGUUCCGCCCGUCCACCGCAGAUGAGCCACCAGGAGGAGCAGGGAAGAAGACGGGGUGGGAUAGAGUUCACUCUGCACUACGAGAACGCUUCUCGUGCCGACAGCACUGGACUCCAACCCGGGGCCUCCUACGCGCAGCGGCCUGCUGUUCGCUGCCGAGCCGGCUGGCCAGCUGGCGCCACCAGCCACGCGCGCCCGUAGUACGAAGUAAGGACAUUCCUUUGCUACGUCACAGCACAUGGUGCUGCGCUAGCAAGACUGGUGUGGCCCGGAGCUGGUGUCAUCGCUACGAGUCAGCGAGGACUCUGGGAAGGUCGUUGAUAUCACCAAGUGCAGCCAGCCUCUGUUACGCGAGCCACAUUGUACUCGGCAGGAAUAAAGGUGUUAUGAAUUAAUAA